rnacentral:rRNA from 1 species
GUGGCGAGUGGCGAACGGGUGAGUAAUAUAUCGGAACGUGCCCAGUCGUGGGGGAUAACGUAGCGAAAGUUACGCUAAUACCGCAUACGAUCUACGGAUGAAAGCGGGGGAUCGCAAGACCUCGCGCGAUUGGAGCGGCCGAUGGCUGAUUAGCUAGUUGGUGGGGUAAAAGCCUACCAAGGCUACGAUCAGUAGCUGGUCUGAGAGGACGACCAGCCACACUGGGACUGAGACACGGCCCAGACUCC